GGAUGCGAUCAUACCAGCACUAAAGCACCGGAUCCCAUCAGAACUUCGAAGUUAAGCGUGCUUGGGCGAGAGUAGUACAAGGAUGGGUGACCUCCUAGGAAGUCCUCGUGUUGCAUUCC
rnacentral:rRNA from 1 species